GUGCCAGCCGCCGCGGUAAUACGGAAGGGGCGAGCGUUGUUCGGAAUCAUUGGGCGUAAAGGGCGCGUAGGCGGUUGUGUUUGUCUACUGUGAAAGGCCACGGCUUACCUGUGGAGGUGCGGUAGAAACGGCACAACUUGAGGCUGGGAGGGGUUGGUGGAAUUCCCUGUGUAGCGGUGAAAUGCGUAGAUACGGGGGAGAACACUCGUGGCGAAGGCGGCCAACUGGCCCAGUCCUGACGCUGAGGCGCGACAGCGUGGGGAGCAAACAGGAUUAGAUACCCCCGUAGUCC
rnacentral:rRNA from 1 species